rnacentral:rRNA from 1 species
UGGGGAAUUUUGGACAAUGGGCGAAAGCCUGAUCCAGCAAUGCCGCGUGUGUGAAGAAGGCCUUCGGGUUGUAAAGCACUUUUGUCCGGAAAGAAAUCCUUGGCUCUAAUACAGUCGGGGGAUGACGGUACCGGAAGAAUAAGCACCGGCUAACUACGUGCCAGCAGCCGCGGUAAUACGUAGGGUGCAAGCGUUAAUCGGAAUUACUGGGCGUAAAGCGUGCGCAGGCGGUUUGCUAAGACCGAUGUGAAAUCCCCGGGCUCAACCUGGGAACUGCAUUGGUGACUGGCAGGCUAGAGUAUGGCAGAGGGGGGUAGAAUUCCACGUGUAGCAGUGAAAUGCGUAGAGAUGUGGAGGAAUACCGAUGGCGAAGGCAGCCCCCUGGGGCCAAUACUGACGCUCAUGCACGAAAAGCGUGGGGGAGCAAAACAGGAUUAGAUACCCCUGGGUAGUCCACGCCCUAAAACGAUGUCAACUAGUUGUUGGGGAUUCAUUUCCUUAGUAACGUAGCUAACGCGUGAAGUUGACCGCCUGGGGAGUACGGUCGCAAGAUUAAAACUCAAAUGAAUUGACGGGGUCAUAGCUG